GAUGAACGCUAGCUACAGGCUUAACACAUGCAAGUCGAGGGGUAACGAGAGGAAAGCUUGCUUUCCUUGUCGACGACCGGCGCACGGGUGAGUAACGCGUAUCCAACCUGCCCCCAACUAGGGAAUAACCUUGCGAAAGUAAGACUAAUACCCUAUAAUUUCCUCAGAUGUCAUCUGACGAGGAAUAAAGAUUUAUCGGUUGUGGAUGGGGAUGCGUCUGAUUAGCUUGUUGGCGGGGUAACGGCCCACCAAGGCAACGAUCAGUAGGGGUUCUGAGAGGAAGGUCCCCCACAUUGGAACUGAGACGCGGACCAAACGCCUACGGGAGGCAGCAAUGAGGAAUAUUGGUCAAUGGGCGGAAAGCUGAACCAGCCAAGUAGCUUGCAGGAUGACGGCCCUAUGGGUUGUAAACUGCUUUUAUACAGGAAUAAAGUUAGCCACGUGUGGUUAUUUGUAGGUACUGUAUGAAUAAGGACCGGCUAAUUCCGUGCCAGCCGCCGCCGUAA
rnacentral:rRNA from 1 species